rnacentral:rRNA from 1 species
CCUACGGGUGGCUGCAGUGGGGAAUAUUGGACAAUGGGCGAAAGCCUGAUCCAGCCAUGCCGCGUGUGUGAAGAAGGCCUUCGGGUUGUAAAGCACUUUCAGUGGGGAAGAAAGCCUUGGGGCUAAUACCCUCGAGGAAGGACAUCACCCACAGAAGAAGCACCGGCUAACUCCGUGCCAGCAGCCGCGGUAAUACGGAGGGUGCGAGCGUUAAUCGGAAUUACUGGGCGUAAAGCGCGCGUAGGCGGUCUGAUAAGCCGGUUGUGAAAGCCCCGGGCUCAACCUGGGAACGGCAUCCGGAACUGUCAGGCUAGAGUGCUGGAGAGGAAGGUAGAAUUCCCGGUGUAGCGGUGAAAUGCGUAGAGAUCGGGAGGAAUACCAGUGGCGAAGGCGGCCUUCUGGACUGACACUGACGCUGAGGUGCGAAAGCGUGGGUAGCAAACAGGAUUAGAUACCCGAGUAGUC